rnacentral:rRNA from 1 species
GACGAACGUUGGCGGCGUGCUUAACACAUGCAAGUCGAACGGAAAGGCCCUGCUUUUGUGGGGUGCUCGAGUGGCGAACGGGUGAGUAACACGUGAGUAACCUGCCCUUGACUUUGGGAUAACUUCUGGAAACUGGGGCUAAUACCGGAUAGGAGCUCCUGCUGCAUGGUGGGGGUUGGAAAGUUUCGGCGGUUGGGGAUGGACUCGCGGCUUAUCAGCUUGUUGGUGGGGUAGUGGCUUACCAAGGCUUUGACGGGUAGCCGGCCUGAGAGGGUGACCGGCCACAUUGGGACUGAGAUACGGCCCAGACUCCUACGGGAGGCAGCAGUGGGGAAUAUUGCACAAUGGGCGGAAGCCUGAUGCAGCAACGCCGCGUGCGGGAUGACGGCCUUCGGGUUGUAAACCGCUUUCGCCUGUGACGAAGCGUGAGUGACGGUAAUGGGUAAAGAAGCACCGGCUAACUACGUGCCAGCAGCCGCGGUGAUACGUAGGGUGCGAGCGUUGUCCGGAUUUAUUGGGCGUAAAGGGCUCGUAGGUGGUUGAUCGCGUCGGAAGUGUAAUCUUGGGGCUUAACCCUGAGCGUGCUUUCGAUACGGGUUGACUUGAGGAAGGUAGGGGAGAAUGGAAUUCCUGGUGGAGCGGUGGAAUGCGCAGAUAUCAGGAGGAACACCAGUGGCGAAGGCGGUUCUCUGGGCCUUUCCUGACGCUGAGGAGCGAAAGCGUGGGGAGCGAACAGGCUUAGAUACCCUGGUAGUCCACGCUGUAAACGGUGGGUACUAGGUGUGGGGUCCAUUCCACGGGUUCCGUGCCGUAGCUAACGCUUUAAGUACCCCGCCUGGGGAGUACGGCCGCAAGGCUAAAACUCAAAGGAAUUGACGGGGCCCCGCACAAGCGGCGGAGCAUGCGGAUUAAUUCGAUGCAACGCGUAGAACCUUACCUGGGUUUGACAUGGAUCGGGAGUGCUCAGAGAUGGGUGUGCCUCUUUUGGGGUCGGUUCACAGGUGGUGCAUGCCUGUCGUCAGCUCGUGUCGUGAGAUGUUGGGUUAAGUCCCGCAACGAGCGCAACCCUUGUUCACUGUUGCCAGCACGUUAUGGUGGGGACUCAGUGGAGACCGCCGGGGUCAACUCGGAGGAAGGUGGGGAUGACGUCAAGUCCUCAUGCCCCUUAUGUCCAGGGCUUCACGCAUGCUACAAUGGCUGGUACAGAGAGUGGCGAGCCUGUGAGGGUGAGCGAAUCUCGGAAAGCCGGUCUCAGUUCGGAUUGGGGUCUGCAACUCGACCUCAUGAAGUCGGAGUCGCUAGUAAUCGCAGAUCAGCAACGCUGCGGUGAAUACGUUCCCGGGGCU